rnacentral:lncRNA from 1 species
UUGGUAGCAUUGAGACAUAAUAAUGUAGAACUACAUAUAGCUAUCCAGUCUUCAGAGUAUAUCUUAAAAUAGUUUUCAAGCUAUAGGGAAAAGCAAUAGUAACAUCUUUCAUCUUUUGACCCAUUUCAGAAAUAAAGUUCACACAUGAACUACAGGCAGUCUGUCAUCAGCAGCAGUAAGAAUAUCAGAAUUGCCAUGCUGGGUCAGACCCAUGGCUCAUCCAGUUUUCUCUUUCAGAAAGCAUCACCAAGGGAAGUGUUGUGGGCUGGCUUAAUUGGUCCUCUGUGACGUCAGGCUCAACAGGUUAGGUAGGGAUGUGCUGCUAAACAUUUUAGUUUUUCUAAUAAUCUCUCCAUAGCUUCUGAAAAACUUUUUGAAGCUACUUAUAUCUGUCACCUUGAUUCUUCUUAAGGUUUAAAUAUUCUGUAGAUGGAGUAGUCAUAGUUAAAAGUAAUCCCAUAUCUUCUCUUUUCUCAGGCUUUAAGAGUUAACAAUGUGUCCCCUGGUGUUACGGUAUGAAGCAAAGAAAUGUUUUCCUGCUAGACAAGAACACUGUUUUGUAGUCUUCAACUGUAUUCCCUUUGGGUCUUUUAUAAAGUUUUGUGUUUUUUUUUAACUGAAAAC